rnacentral:rRNA from 1 species
UUGGAGGGCAAGUCUGGUGCCAGCAGCCGCGGUAAUUCCAGCUCCAAUAGCGUAUAUUAAAGUUGUUGCAGUUAAAAAGCUCGUAGUUGAAUUUCGGGAUCGACACAUCGGUCGUGCCUUAAGGGGCAUGAACUGGUGUAGCCAAUUUCUCACCUUCUGGAGAACCGCGAUGCCCUUAAUUGGGUGUCGCGGGGAACCAGGACCUUUACCUUGAAAAAAUUAGAGUGUUUAAAGCAGGCAUUUUGCUUGAAUACAUUAGCAUGGAAUAAUAAAAUAGGACGGCAUGAUUCUAUUUUGUUGGUUUCUAGGAUCACCGUAAUGAUUAAUAGGGAUAGUUGGGGGCAUUAGUAUUCAAUUGUCAGAGGUGAAAUUCUUGGAUUUAUUGAAGACUAACUACUGCGAAAGCAUUUGCCAAGGAUGUUUUCAUUAAUCAAGAACGAAAGUUAGGGGAUCGAAGACGAUCAGAUUCCGUCGUAGUCUUAACCAUAAACUAUGCCGACUAGGAAUCAGACGAUGUUAAUUUUUUAAUGACUCGUUUGGCACCUUACGGGAAACCAAAGUGUUUGGGUUC